rnacentral:rRNA from 1 species
UACGAAGGGGGCUAGCGUUGCUCGGAAUUACUGGGCGUAAAGGGCGCGUAGGCGGUCGUGACAAGUCACUUGUGAAAUCUCCGGGCUUAACUCGGAACGGUCAAGUGAUACUGUCGGACUAGAGUACAGAAGGGGCAGCUGGAAUUCUCGGUGUAGCGGUGAAAUGCGUAGAUAUCGAGAGGAACACCUGCGGCGAAGGCGGGUUGCUGGGCUGAUACUGACGCUGAGGCGCGAAAGCCAGGGGAGCGAACGGG